rnacentral:rRNA from 1 species
UACAGAGGGUGCAAACGUUGCUCGGAAUUACUGGGCGUAAAGCGCGUGUAGGUGGAUUGGUGUGUCAGAUGUGAAAGCCCUGGGCUCAACCCAGGAACUGCACCUGAAACUACCAGUCUUGAGUGGUGGAGAGGGAAGUGGAAUUCCUGGUGUAGAGGUGAAAUUCGUAGAUAUCAGGAGGAACACCAGUGGCGAAGGCGGCUUCCUGGACACUAACUGACGCUGAGACGCGAAAGCGUGGGGAGCAAACAGG